rnacentral:rRNA from 1 species
UACGUAGGGUGCAAGCGUUGUCCGGAAUUAUUGGGCGUAAAGAGCUCGUAGGCGGUCUGUCACGUCGGCUGUGAAAACCCGGGGCUCAACCCCGGGCCUGCAGUCGAUACGGGCAGACUAGAGUGCGGUAGGGGAGACUGGAAUUCCUGGUGUAGCGGUGAAAUGCGCAGAUAUCAGGAGGAACACCGGUGGCGAAGGCGGGUCUCUAGUACGGUACUGACGCUGAGACGCGAAAGCGUGGGGAGCGAACAGG